ACAGAGAGUGUCACAGAGUAACGAAGAUGAUUUACAAGAUGUCAGAUGCAACAUGUUUUGCAGCUUGAAAUUACAACCAUAGUGAAUAAGUCUUGCAACAUAUUGAAAGCAUACAAGAAGUCUUGCAACACACAGCCGCCAUCUUGUCGUGGUCGCACAUAGAGUAGCACACAGGGACGUUAUCAACAUCCUCAUGGUCGCACACAGGAGUACUGGGAGAGGAGACAGAAACAUGUAAAAUGUAGAAUGCAGCAGGGUGGCCAUCCUGAUUAAGCCACAGGUGGAUGCCUCCUCCAGCUCACCGGCACCCUCACCGAGCAUUGCCGCCAUGGAGUUGUCAGCGUCCUCCAACUCUUCAUCUUCCAGGUUGAACAUUGCCGUCAUUGCCGUGAUGAUGUCCGCCGGCAGCACUCCACUGUACAUAUCCAGAUAUUCCUGCAAAGCACGUUCCACCGGCAGAAGAUCGUCAAACCAAACAAUUUCGUCUUAAUGAAAUACAUGCCCAGAUAUGUUCUUGGAAAAGAAAAAACAGUAUCGUCUUCAUCAACUGGGUUCCACGAGCAAUCAGAUCUCCCCUAUUUCCAAGUGCCACCGCUGAGCCUGACGGAGAGGAAAAGCUGAAUCUUCAGAGCUCAUGGAUUUGUUUUCUUCUUCCCCAUUGCACAAUCGGAGAACUCCUCCGAGGUUCACACGGUAGGCGCAGUGAUGGUUGCUGGCAUCCUCCCAACCACCCUGCAUUCCAGCCGUCUAUCCGUUUCCUGCUGCUCCUCUUCAUCGACCUCGUCUUCUUCGAGUUGCUGCCGGCGGUUGGCCACCAUGAUGUCCAUUCGCGGCGGUGGUACGGAGCAGCAUGGGGUGCGGCGGCGCAAACCCAGAGGAAUCGGGGUGCGGAGAAGGAGGUCGAGCGGGAGUCCACUCACGAGGGCAGCCGUCGCCGGACAGGAAAGGGAGCCGCCGCGAGCAACAGCAGGGAGGGAGCGGGGAAGAUGGCCGGGGCAAAACCAGGGGCUAAUUUCUAAAUUUUGGAUCGCGAUCAAUAGUCGCGAUCCAAUUCAGAGACCUAUGUGUAAAUAUUUGGAUCGCGACCAAUAGUCGCGAUCCAAUGUAGGGGUUUUUUGUAAAUAUUUGGAUCGCGGUCAAUAAUCACGAUCCAUUUGAGGGGCUCAUAUGAAAAAUCGCAGUCCACGCAGCCUUAGCGUCCGCCGCCGGCGAACUCACCCGCCGGCCGCUGCAGCUCGCCGGCGUGCAGUACAACCCGCCCCUCGUUCAUAUCCUCUAGCGCAGUGGGACGCUACAAUCUCAUUCCGCACCACGUUGACGCUCCAAUUGGGUUCUCGUUGCAGCGCCAGGCCGCCAGCCGCCAGUUUUGUCCCCGUUGACCAUGGCGGCGGGGCGGCGGCAGUGGCGGAGUGCGUGAGGGGCCGUCCAAGGCAAGCCGCAUUGCGCACGCCACAAGCCCACAAUCCCUGAAGCCAUAGCCCGCCUCCAGCCUCCGGCCUCCGUGCCGCCAGGCACCCGUCGCGGCAAGUUUACCCCCUCUCCAUAUCUGGUGAUCUGAACUGCUGUUUCUCCCUCACCUACUCCGUCCACCGCAUUUGGUAACUUUGGUGUGGCGAUCUACGGAACUUCGUUGGUGGAGGCGCGGGGGCUCCAGCUGGAGGCUGCCUUGCAAGAUAGUGAUUGAACAAAGCGAUUGCAUGAUGCCAUGAUGGGAGGAGUGGACACAUUUGUUCAUUGCAAGAUAGAGAAUGCUGCGCCCAUGGAGAACAUCACGUGGCUUGAGUUAGCACGAGACCAGGGGAGCUAUUUCGUGGAAGGUGUGGAGGACACAGUUUAUCAAUUAAUAGCAGCCUAUCUCCAAGGUUUGCUUGUGAUGAGCAACAGGUAAAGUGGAUAACUGCAAAGUAAUGUUGUAUUAGUUUGGGGAUAAUAGUUGCAUUUUUUAAUUUUACUAGAAAAAUCAAAUAGCCUACUAGAAUCUGUAUGCCUUGAGUCAAUGGAAAUAUGCUCUUCUCAUGAGGCAGAACUGCUGUACACGCAUCGUACACAGCACUUGAUUUAAAAAAAAAAUGACGGUUGUGAUCAAAUGUUGACAAAACUUUCGGGUUUUAAUACUUUACAUUGAACAUCAUUUUCCUUACUGAAGGUAAUAGUCUUAUGGAUCUAGUCAGAUGCUUUGGGCCUAUCACAUUUGCCAGCUGAGACAUCAUGGAUAUGAGAUUGAUCACAUUGACAUACCUGUUAGUUUUAACUUGUAAGACAAUAGAUAUUAUCAGAAAAAUCAUUCCAUCUUAAAAUAAGUUGAUUUUCUAUUUGGUGGUAUCAUACCUACUAAGUAGGUUGCCUUGUUUACUAAGCAAGCUAUGUGUUUUGUGCAGGGUAAGUUGACUUGACUGGAGCCAUAGUAGGACACGUGGACUAGGGUGGUGAACAAUUGCUUUCCUGUAUUCUAUAGUGUAGUGAAAGCUCUUUGUUUUCCCUCUGUUGCUUCAUCGUUUGAAAUUCUAGCUGGCUCCUAUUUGGCGAAACCCUUUUCUUAUUUUGUUCAUAUGCCAGGUAUCAAGAAUCACAUCCGGACGCGUUUCUUGUUGCCGCAAUGCACUGACAUUUGCAGUUCAAAAGCUACCUGCAAGCAUAGGCUAGCCUAGUCAGUUCUGAUUCAGGUACACAUCACAGGCUCAUAGCAUCCAUCCAUUCAUGUACAUCUCAUUGUACUAUCGCUGCCUGCAAGCAUUGGCUAGCCUCCUAGUCAGUUCCGAUUCAGGUACACAUCAUAGGCUCUUAGCAUCUAUCCAUUCAUGCACUGUCAUUGUACUAUCUGACUCGUAUACAUGCCGUGCUAACCAUCUGCACCUGAUGUUCUCGUAUCUUAGUCAGAAUGGGAUUGCUUGUGACACAUUUU